rnacentral:rRNA from 1 species
UGGGGAAUAUUGCACAAUGGGCGCAAGCCUGAUGCAGCCAUGCCGCGUGUAUGAAGAAGGCCUUCGGGUUGUAAAGUACUUUCAGCGGGGAGGAAGGGAGUAAAGUUAAUACCUUUGCUCAUUGACGUUACCCGCAGAAGAAGCACCGGCUAACUCCGUGCCAGCAGCCGCGGUAAUACGGAGGGUGCAAGCGUUAAUCGGAAUUACUGGGCGUAAAGCGCACGCAGGCGGUUUGUUAAGUCAGAUGUGAAAUCCCCGGGCUCAACCUGGGAACUGCAUUCGAAACUGGCAGGCUAGAGUCUUGUAGAGGGGGGUAGAAUUCCAGGUGUAGCGGUGAAAUGCGUAGAGAUCUGGAGGAAUACCGGUGGCGAAGGCGGCCCCCUGGACAAAGACUGACGCUCAGGUGCGAAAGCGUGGGGAGCAAACAGG